AGCAGCCGCGGUAAUUCCAGCUCCAAUAGCGUAUAUUAAAGUUGCUGCAGUUAAAAAGCUCGUAGUUGAAUUUCGGGACUAAUAUGUCGGUCGUGCCUCGGUACGUACUGGUUUAUUGGUUUCUCCUUUCUGAAGAACCAUGAUGUCAUUUAUUUGGUGUCGUGGGGAAUCAGGACUGUUACUUUGAAAAAAUUAGAGUGUUUAAAGCAGGCUCACGCUUGAAUACAUUAGCAUGGAAUAAUGAAAUAGGACGUUUGAUUCUAUUUUGUUGGUUUCUAGGAUUGACGUAAUGAUUAAUAGGGAUAGUUGGGGGCAUUAGUAUUCAAUUGUCAGAGGUGAAAUUCUUGGAUUUAUUGAAGACUAACUACUGCGAAAGCAUUUGCCAAGGAUGUUUUCAUUAAUCAAGAACGAAAGUUAGGGGAUCGAAGACGAUCAGAUACCGUCGUAGUCUUAACCAUAAACUAUGCCGACUAGGGAUCGGAUGAUGUUAAUUUUUUAAUGACUCAUUCGGCGCCUUACG
rnacentral:misc_RNA from 1 species